CUCCCUCCUCCCCAGCUGUGUGUGGGGAAGGCUGCCCAAUCCCUGCUGGAAGCCUCCUUGUCUCUCAUCUGUGAGCAUGUGAUACCUGCUCAGGUUGCACAGAAACCCUGAUGUCCACGGGUCACUAAUCUGCUGCACAGACCAGGAGACACCAGGGCUGAAGGCUGUGGCCUUAGAACCCUGCAUGGAGCCACAUUCCAGCGCAUGUGGGGGCUCUCUCCAGAGACAUGGUCACUCGAGAGCUUGCUCUCCUAAGUACACCUGAAGUCUCCAGGUCACUGCCCAGGACACGCAUGCGGCACGCCCGCCUGGACAGAAGCUGAGAUGGGUGGUUCUGAGAGGGGCCCCACCUGGGUUCCAGCUUCCCAUCCUGGCCCCAGUGACUGCUGACCUCCUCCUACGUGUUCCUUGGGCAGUGAAGGCGUGAUCCCACCAGCUGUUUACAAUCCAUCAUCCAGCAGUUUCCACAUGGUGGUUAUGCAGCUUGGGGACUAGGGAGGAGAGUCCUGGUAUCCAAAUACUGGACUUGCAGCUUAAUUAAUCAGGGAGGACCUCAGCAUGCAAUCCUCACCGCGACAGCAAAUUUGCAUACUUCUUGUUUGCUUUGCACUCAAGGUCAAGUCUCUCCUGCAAUAAAAAUGUCCUCAGUGGGUGGCUCAAGAGAAGCAGCCAAGCAUUGUUAUCUCCACCUUAAACUGGAGGAGCCAAUCAGA